ensembl:lncRNA
GGGAGAUGAUUGCAGAGGAACCUGCUGCUCAUUUGUAGCGUGAAACCACGCAGCUCCUCCUCUGGCUGCCACUGUGCUCCUGCUUAUAGGGCAGCUACUCAGCUCAUCUGUGUUUACCCUAAAGAUGGGGGGCAGGCGUAGCCUUUCUGUACACCCAGCGUGAAGUGGCUUACCCCUCCGUGAAACUCAGGUGAGCUGCUUCUCUGCCGACUGCAAACUGGGAGCAUCUUCACGGGGAACUUUUCCGCUGAAAUCAAAGUGAAACUUCACCCUGGGCUUUCUUAUUGCUGCCUCCUGAGUCACCACAUCCUUCUCUUGUCACCACCACCUUUCUGUUUAGAAAGUGAUAAUGAGACGCAGUGUUCAGCAGUGAGAACUGGGUCUGUGUGCGAGGAAUGAAUUUACAGAGGGGUUAAAAUUCGCUCUUUGAAAGCAGAGAGCACCAAAAGGUCCACCUGGGGAGUCAGUUGUUGGCGUGCUGCAGUUUUACAGUGCUUCCCUACAUUUCUUGUGGAGACAAGCCCCAAGGAAUCUGAAGACUUGGCUUAUUUUCCUGAUCCUGCAACAGAUCCUGCCUUGCCCGGCUAUGGGGCUUAGCAGCAGGGCAAAGAAGAGGAGCUGGGAAGAGAAGGAGGAGAGGCCAGGCUUCUCCAGGUGGAGAGCCUUGCUGUUUCCCACCCCGUGUCUCUUUGUCUCUCACUCUACUAUCUCCUGGAGUUGGCAACAAGUUAAUGUGACUCGGGAGCCAGAAGUGGCAUAACCGGUACUCCAGCUUAGCUCAUCCUUUUGUGCUCUCCAUCCCUUGCGUUGAAUCCAUGAGGAUGCACGAGGGUAGAACUUCAGAUCCCCCCCCAUCCCCCCAACCAGCUGGGACCAGCAGCUAAAGACAUUCAGCAUUUCUCACAGUCCACAGCGUAGCUUUUGAGCUGGCUGGUAAUUGGAAACACUGUGCACUCCACUGCUCGGUCUCGCAGGCUCCCUGGCCAGCUGUGGGCUGCUCACCACCACCGCUGAGCCCGCAGUGCAGGGACGAGCUGCAGCGCCUGAGUUCAGCUCAAAGCAGCUGCAGAAAAAAAGCAUCCUGCUGCAGAAGAGCCAAUGGCCCUGGGAACAGACUGCUUUUAUAAAAAGCCUUACGAGAGCCAGAUGCCCCCUACCCUGACAAAGACUGAUCAGGUGGCUGCUGGUAUCGCCUUUCACUGCUCUUUGGCAAGGGUGGAAACACAGAAUGAUGGGUGCCAUGGAUUUAUGCUUUGUGAGAGGUCAGGUCAGAUCAUCAGCAUGGAAAAUAAAUCCAUUGGAUGUAUCUCCCGGGGGGUGCAGGAGGCUGUGCUGCAAGUCUCUUGGCACGGGGCAGUCCCCCAGCACUUCCCCACCCGAGCGGCCGCAGCAGGUGAUCCGUGGAGGAAGAGGAGGAUGAAGCCCGGCGUGCGAGCCAGCCCCGCCGGCUGCCGAGUGCCACCAGAGGGUGCUGCGCCGUACCGCCGGCCGGCAGGGACGGAUGGGAACGGGAGGGAUGCGAGAGGGACGCGGGAGGCUGCGGCCCCAGCCAGCUCCCUGCCUGCCAGCUCCUGCUGUGGUUGCCAGGCUGCUUGGUUUGGUUGCCCCGCAGCUAGCUAGUUCCGUCUGAUGGACCUCAGCUCCCUCUGGAGAAAACAAACAUUUGUGGCCGUGUUGAUGUGCAAGGAGGAAAACAUUGACACCGCAGAUAACGUGGUUGGUACGUCUCGAGACAGCGUAUGUAGAAGACAGCAUUUAAAAGGGUUGGUUUAUUAACUUUGCGCUCCCGUGCCGUAACCAGCCGCCCUUUAGGGAGACAGAAUUAGCCUCUCUUUAGCAGAAGGCAUCACAUCCCUCUGCUUAUGUCCCGUGCCGCUGCUCCCCCCAGCAGCCGCACUCCUCGGUGCCUGCUGUCCCACACGUCCGGGGCUGCUGUACAGAGCGCUCCUUAUACAGACGUCUCUUGGCAUGGAGGCGCUCCCCGGGAGCACGACUGUAGGUUGAAAUUCUGCCUUCUUGGAAUAAGCAAAUGCCAGGGGUUUAUUUCCUAUUAAGCUAGCAGAUAGUUUGUGCAUUUAGCCGCAGUUUGCUGUCUCCAACCAGAUACGGGUGGAUCCUUCUUGUUUUCCUUCCUCUUUAUAUUUCCAGCCUGGGAAACAGCAAAAAGUUUGUGCAAAAGCAACAUCUGUGGGAGAGAGAGAGAGAAAAGGAUGAGGCAGGCUGGCCCGGCAGCCAGCCUCAGGAGAUGGUAAGACAGAAGAGCUAUUCAUUGUGAGAGGCAGUUGCUCCUCACCCUGCUAGACUAUAAAUUGGACACCUUAUUAAGAGCUGAUCCUCCAACAGCCCCACCCCGGGCUGUGCUCACGCUCCGGACUAGAGGAACGCAAUCCCGUUUCGCUCUGGGUGCCCGCUGUGGGGUGAGCACAUGUGUGAGCAGGACAGAGGACAUGAGGCAGAAGGAAGCAGCACACUUUUUGAUUUGUGGGUCGUCAGCUUAGGAAAACAAGGCAAACUUUUGGGAGGCAGCAGGGAGGAGGUUGGAUGGCAGCGAAGUUUGGGCUCUCACCCUAUGAUGCGCUGGUUGCCUUAGCAAAUAAUGGAAGCAGUAUUACAUUUUUUUCCUUUUUUUUUUUAACUUGUUUUCUCAGUUGUAACUUAAAAAUGCUGACUCACUGGCACUGUGUGCCAACACAAAUGUUGCUGCGGAAAUCAAUCAUCAUGAGAGCCUGGUGAGAUAUAACCCCACAGUGGCGCAGGCUUUGAAUGGGCCUCUUUGGUCAUUCCAAGUUUCUUCUUCAGACAAUUCGCCUGGAAACUUCCUUCUUGUCAGGUGAGCCCAAAGGUCUGAGCAGACUCACGCAGAUGUCACGUUGAAUGGUUGCUGUGGUGAAAAAUUCACAGGAAUGUGAGGUUAACAAAUUCAUCAGUUGUAUCAUCCUUGGCAAGACUUCUGAGCUUUCCAGCCUUUGCGCACCUUUAACCAUUUGAAAGGUUCUUGGGCUUGCAUUUGAAGUGCACAAGCUAUUGCCAGCUGCUGUCAGAAGUAAACAUCUUUAUGUAUUCUUCAGAGCUUGUUUUCGUGCUAAAGAAAGCAGGAUGGAUCACAGGCCUUUUGUACUGUUCUGAACACUAUUCCUGCUCAGACGUUCAUGUUUUUCCUUCCACGUGAAACCGAUUGGAGGAGUCAUGCAACACUAGAUGUGUUGGGAGGAGUCUGCAUUUUCAGAGCAUCUGCUCGUUGAUUUCUCUGCUGAGGUUCCUCUGUUUUAUUUUCCUUGGCAGGCAAUUUAAACAUAGUUAGAUAUAUUGCAACUGAGCGGUGGUCAGGUAAUUCAAAGUAACAUGGAAAUGUGACCUUCAUACAUGCCUCCCCGCUUCUCGGGUAGCACUAAGAUACAGGUGCAUUUCAAUAGCAUCUCCUAGAAUUGCUGACUUCAGUUGCAUCUCAUAUAAUUGAAAAACAGCCUUUGUAUUUCCUUUAGGAGGAAAUACAUUUUUUUUCAGAUCUGAAAAAUCUAGGAUAUUGCUGUGGCUCAUUUGAAAAUGGCCGCGUGAUUCUCUAGGUUGUGAUUGCCUGACUGUCGCUGGUGUAUUGGAAGGCAUUGGCUGACAAGAUGUUCCUGGAUACCUUAAUUUGUGUGCCUCAGAUGACUUUACAUGCUUAUAAAAAUGAGCACAAAGCAUCUUCAGCGUUUCUCUCACUUUUCUUCUCCUACAUUCUACUUGAGGGACUUCUUAGUUUUGCCAAUGAUUUUGUUUCCCAAUAAAACAGCAUGUCUGAAUUCAUGCUCUGUGUAUAAGUCCGUGUAUGUGAUUCCACUGUGCCCUAACCUCUCCAAAAGUGUGGGCCUGCUGGUUGGUUUUGGCUGAAUUUGGCAAAAUAAUUGAUAUUUCAAACUGAAGUUCCAAAAUGUUUUAAAAAGAAGGGCUAGGUAGGCACAGGAGAGGGCUUUUUUUGUGCUAGAGACAUCCUGGUGCUGUCAGCUCAGAUCACCUUUUACCACGUACCAGUGAAGCUGCCAUGGAAUGGGCCCUUGGAAAUCAGUCUUCAACACAUCUGUCAGACGUGGAUUAGUUGUUAGUACUGGUUGUUUUGGUACAGUUAGAAUAGAGGAGGGGAGGCUGGGUUGAAAACCCGGAGUUUUCUCUUUUGUUCUAGACUUUUGAGAUUUAUGGUUUUUCCCUGCAAGUAGUCCGGAUUUUGCAGUUGUGAACUAAGCACUAGAGAAUCUGUCCCUAGCGCACCUAUCCUUCAAACUGGGUAUUUAUUGUGUCACAGGGCAGUAUGACUGCCAGAUUUCAACAUAGCUGUGGCUGUCUUCGCACCAAUUUUUGCUAAGGUGUUGAAAGCUUUGAAAAUAAGGCCUUUGGGACUAAGCGGUGAGCGGAGCAAAGAUCAGAGUUUGAACUUGCUUGGAGGUCUUGUGUUGCUGAAUAAACGGACCGACAUUUUUGUAUGGGGCAUCAUUUCUAAACCCACCGUGUCUGUAGAAAUCAAGCAUAAGGAGCAAGUUCAAUCUAGCAGGUCGUCUGAUCAGAAAUAGCUGUGAAGAACAGAGGUAUUUGCAGCAACAGCUCUUGGGAUUUCUAGAAGGAAUGAGUUCGGAUAAAUAUUAAAUCUCCAUUUUGUCUUAAUGCCAGUGAUGGAGAAUGAAUGACAUUAUGGAAAUGUGAAAUGCUUUCCUCUACCAUCUUGAGCCCAGGCUCUUGCAACAAUUCAGCUUCUGCCAACUUCUCUUCAUUCAUUUGCUGAUCUCAGCCAAGCCCUUGUAGAGCUGGGUAACGGUGUUAUUUGCAUGGGAGGUGAAGAUGAUGUAGAGAUGGGUGUCAUAUGUGUACUGCUGACAAGUCAGUCCAUGGUGCCACUGAAUAUUCUCUACAGGCUUUAUAUAGAUAUUGAACAGGCUGGGUGAGGGGAAAGAAUUUCAUGUUAUUCAGCAGGUGGGAAAGGUUUUGGAGGUUAAGGAAAGAGCAAGUGUUUAUCAUAAAUCUCUUGAGCUUACUGGAGAUUGAUGUAAGGGAUGUCUGAAGAUGUAUCAGCUCAGUUCCAAAGGGCUGUGGACAGACAUUUAUUUUCAAACAGCUGAGCUGGCUGGAGAUCUUACAGCCAUUCCAGAUGCUUGCUACCAACCCUCUGCUGAUGGUUGCCAUACCAGUUGCUCUGCUGUUAGAAAAGGUAGUCUAAAGUCUUCCUGAUCUGUUCGGUGAAGUCACUCAGAUAGCUGAAAGUGCUGAUAAAGGUGGUGUUAUUUAACACAGCUGAAAUUGCAUUACCUUUAAAAGAGAGAAUGUUCACUUUACUGUGAGUUUUGGAAAGGAGAGAAAGGAGAAAAGAAGACCUCAGCCUAUCCUGCAGAGCAUUCCCACAGCCCCAGGCAGCUCUUGCAUUGCCUCCUGCAGGCCUGAAGAUGGGCAAGGCAUGUGUGUGGGGCUGGGUACAUCUUCUGGAACAGGCAAUGUAGCUGCUGUUUGGGGUUUGCUUUUAUGAGUGAACAUGUGCUCGGAUAUUUUGUAUAGAUCUUGUGCUUAAAAUAUAUGCAAAGUGCUUGUUUCUUACAUGAGUGACUGAAAUGAUGUAUGUGGAGAUGUGUCAGCCUCCUACGGGGUCAGGUAACCUCAUGUGGCCAAAGCUCAGGUAACCAAGAGUUUGUUAUUAUCCAAGUUUUCUACCAGAGCUCAUAUAAGAAAUUGUUAUUAAUUAGUAUAUUAACACCACUAUGGUUAAAGCUGAACCAGCAAGUUACAAUAAAAUGCUUAAGUUGGGGCAAAGAAGAAAGCUCAUGCACUCGGGUGUUCAUUCAGGAAUGGGAGGAAUGGGAAGAACUGGGAUGAAAGCCUGUGGGUGUUUUUAAGAGAUCCUGGAAUUCUUGCAGGUUUUCCAGAUCCAAAACCACAGAACUGCUGGAGAUUCCUUGACGUGUACACGGGCAAAACAGAGCAAGCAAGAGUACUGGUCAUCCUUGCUGGCCAUUCUGUUUCUGAACUGGGCCAGAAUGAAGCAUCCUACCCUAACAACAGUCCAAAACUCUGCUGGAAUUUGGACUAGCAUCCAAACUCAAGGCACAGGCUCUUCUCUAAAUAAAAAUAACUCAAUCACAAGCUAUUUUGGGGUGGUGACUUUCAGACAAGAAAUGUAGGGCUUACACAGGUUUUUACUUCUGUCAAAUACAUCUGGAUGCUGUACUCCUUCCUGCCGAUACUCUGAACUUGCUCUCUUCAGCUCAGAGCCAAAGAACUCCAACUGAAAGCUAGAAAUGGUAGAACAACUGAUGUUACUCAAGGUAAACAGCAGGGUUUUUUUGGUGGUUUAUUUAUUCCACAGAGGAUAUUCUGCUACUCUGGUUGCUGCUGAUGCUGAUAAAAUUUCUGUCAUGGCCUGUGAUGAACAGCAUGCAAUGUUGGUUCAAGAUAAGAGCCAAAAGCGUGUCAAAGAGUCUUCUCCAAAUAGGAAUCCCCAUAGAUCUGGCUUUUUUGACAGGGUGGUAGUUAACAAAACUGCCACACCUGGCACCAUUGACAUUGCUGCCAAAACUGUCCGUCACCAUCCUCUCCCCUUCCCACAGCACCCAGUAACAAAUCUGUUUUUUCCUGUUUGCUUGGAUAUACCUGGUAUUACGAUAGGAACAGUUCCCGUUCAUGAAGAAUGAGGUGGGAUACAGCGAGUUGUAAGGGACAGGAAGCAAAGGAGGAAGCGGUGUGCUGGGCUAUUGUUGUUAAUGGCACUAAGCAGCAAGUGCUAAAGCAUGUUUUACAUCAGUGCGAGCACUGCUGUGUAUGAUGUCCUACUGGGAGUGCCUGCACUGUGUGCAGCAGAUGGGCAGCAGGAGAGUUUCACUGCUGGGUUCUGAGGUAAGAGUGUUUCCUACCUCAGGAGCUCCAAGCAGUCUAUGAACUUCAGUUGAUUUAAAGCUUUGGACCUUCUAAAUUAUUAUCCAGUUGUAUCCCAGAGCAAGGCAUAUUUGCUGAAGAUGUCACAGGAAGUUUUCAGCUGUGCCAAGUGUAUAAACUAGAUCUUCUGACUCAUAGAUCUAGGGUUUAAUUGAAGGAGUUUUCUUCCUCUUUACAUAGCUACCCUGCCUUCUCUUUGAUAUUAUCCCACCCUCCCCUAAUCACUGGGUGACAUCUGAUCCCUAUGACUCUUCUAUAACCUUCAAGGUCUAUUGUAUUGGGUCCAAGAUCUUGUGUUUUAUUUCUGGCUGUUCUAAUUUUGAGUCCAUCCCUGCAAUUCCAGGGGGCUCACCCCUAAACUGGCUGCAAGCCCUUGGGAAGCAGGGUGCCCCUUGGUGGUACAUCUCACUGUGGAGCAGAGAUUUUCCUGAACCAGUCACUGUCCUCCACUAAACCCUGGUGCAGAGGAUGGCUAUUGCCUCCCACGUGCUUCCUGCAAUUUCUGCUUAAGUAUAGUAUUCUUUGCUGUCUCUCUGCAGUUGGAAUGUAAAGCUGCUUUCUGUAGAUUUAAAGUUGCUUCCUCCUCUGAAGUGGCUUUAUUUUAGUGCUCAGCUCAGUGAUUCCUACACAGUACUUAACCCAGCAGGUAUCUGAAGUCCAAAUACUUUAUUUAGAUCUAAGUUAACGCAUAACAUUGCUUCUAUCAAUAUCAUUAGAUUUUCUUGUGUCUUUAAACUCAGUGUUCUUGAGUCACUUUCUCUUUUUUCCCUCUCGUCAAAGGAUUUCCAAUUUGCAGUUUGGGCUACGGAUGUAAAGGACCAAAUCCUGCACUAGUUUAAGUCUGUAAGAGCCAUGGAACUACGUCCAUGCACGUGAGAACACAGGAUGCUGAAAUCAUUCCACCAUUUUGAAAAGCACACGGUCUAGAGGACUGAUGCUGAGAGAUGUCGUUUAGGAUUAUCUAAUUCCUGAACCUGUAAAUCCUGAUGUAAAUAUAGCUUUUCCCCUGGCUAUACACUUUUAGUGGUGAAGAGAUUCUUUAAAAAAAUAAUAAUAAAAAAUUAGAUGUUAGAUGCUGUGCAUCUAGAGCCCCUUACUGGAGUUAUAACACCUUCUUAACAGCAUUGUAC